rnacentral:lncRNA from 10 species
CUCCCUCUGUCCCCCAGAAUGGAACAGUCAUGGAUCCUGACUCACUGCCACCUUGACUUCCGGGACUCAAGGAAUCCCCCCACCUCUGCCUCCUAAAGUGCUGGGAUUACAGGCCAGGCAUGAGCCACCAGCUGGGCUAGAAUUUACAUUUUUAACAGGUUCCCAAAUGCAAGUUGAUGCUGCUGGUCUAGGGACGCAUCUUGUGAAUCUGUACAGUGAUAAACCUGCACUUGAGAAGGUUCAAAUUUCACUUCAUCCACCCUUUAUUGUGGACCAAGUUAGACAGGAUGAGAGGAGAUGCUGGGCUUUGGUUAAAGAGCAGAGGUGGAGAAAAAGAUGGAGAGUAUAAGGCAGUUCCUUGGAAAUAGAGUGGAUACUGAGGGAAUAUGAUGACAUAGAGGAGGGAUGACCCGAGGGGCACAGCCGCAGCCAUGACUAUGGAUCUAUGAUUUUGGGUUGUGUAAAGAGAUCAAUGCCCCCAAAUGAGUGCUGCAGACCAGGUUCUGAAUGUGACUCGGUGACAGCUUGAGGUCUUCUCAACAUCACCAGGACAGGACCUGGGCUUGAGGACCAUCUGUCAUCUCACUCUGGAUCACCUCCCUUCCCUCCAUGACUCAGGGAGAAAGAACCCAGGCCUUCAACUCCUAGCUACGGCCCCUUCC